UCUCUCUCUUCCUCAGACACUCACUCUCUCUCUCUCCCUCUCGAACGUACGAGCAACCACAAAAACCACCCAAAACUCUACCAUCGUCAGAUUUAAGGCUACCAUUGCAUUCCUGAGGACUCCACGAUCACGUAGGUACCAAUUUAAGGCCAAACUAAGCUCACAGUGAGCUUUAGGAAGUCCCAAGGAAGCUCGGAGUGUGUCGUUUGGAAGUUUUGGACGUCGGAAUCACUUAGUUCGACGUUUGGCCGAUUUCUUGAAAUUUUGGAAGGUGAGACUUAUAGCGAGGACGAGCACAUCCAGGGGCGUCAAGGGGGUUACGACCCGGCAACAUACCAGUUCUAGUUGAGGCGUUGGUGGCCUACGAGGACUUCUUCGGCGUUCUGACAGACUAAAUAAAUGUAGGAUUCACCCGAUGGUGUUGUAAAUUAGUUAUGGUCCUACUUGACUGCACCUAGACGCUUAUGCUCUGUUUAUGUGUGUUUAGUACACUCUUAUGCACAUAGAAUGCUAGGUUGUUAAUAACUGCAAUUAGUGGUUUUUGUUGGUUCGUAUUUUGUUA